UACGUAGGGGGCAAGCGUUGUCCGGAAUUAUUGAGCGUAAAGGACGUGUAGGCGGUAUAGUAAGUCAGGUGUGAAAUUUUGGGGCUCAACCCCAAACUUGCACUUGAAACUGCUGUACUUGAGUACUGGAGAGGUAAGCGGAAUUCCUAGUGUAGCGGUGAAAUGCGUAGAGAUUAGGAGGAACACCAGUGGCGAAGGCGGCUUACUAGACAGUUACUGACGCUGAGACGCGAAAGCGUGGGGAGCAAACAGG
rnacentral:rRNA from 1 species